UUCACCAAAACAAAUAGAAAUCUAAAUGGGACCGUCGAGGGGUCUGUUCCAGAGUCGGAAGCAAAACCCUAGAACAAUACUAUGAUCGAAGGCUUCUGAUCUGAUUCAACUAGAUUUCCACAUCAUGUGGUUAGGAUAUCAGAAUGCCGCGCAAGAUUUCUCAGAGAGUGACAUCCAUCACUUUCCCUCUUUCCUGAUAGGCUGAUAAUGGUAAGGAGAACCACAAAUCGGCAUUGCUUCCCAACUUUUUUGAGGUUAUUUUGAUUUGAGUUCGGAGAUCAGGAGCCAGGGUUUCUUCUGCUUGGAAAUUUUGCAGAAAAGAGAAAUUUCAGUAUAUACUUGAAAGCCAAUUGGUUAUUGGGUAGUCAAUGCUCCUUAUUUAAGCCAGAGGAUGAAUCAGAUUUCACCAGAAGUGUAAAGGCACAUAUAUAAAGCUAGAAUCAACAAAUCUCUCUAAAGAAAAGUUCCGGAAGUCCCGAUCAGGAGUCAUCAUCUUUUCUUUUUUCAUUUUUCUCUUUGCCAGAAUGGAUCUUGUGAUCAAGUUUGAUCUUAGAUGUAAUACCAGGAAUAUCCUAUGUAUGCUCAUCAACUAGCAUUGAGGUUGAAUAGAGUCUACUUGAAUCCAAA